GAUGAACGCUGGCGGCGUGCCUAAUACAUGCAAGUCGAGCGAACAGAUAAGGAGCUUGUUCCGUUGACGUUAGCGGCGGACGGGUGAGUAACACGUGGGUAAUCUACCUAUAAGACUGGGAUAACUUCGGGAAACCGGUGCUAAUACAGCAUAACAUCUUGAACCGCAUGGUUCUAGAGUGAAAGGCGGCUUUGCUGUCACUUAUAGAUGGACCCGCGUCGUAUUAGCUAGUUGGGAGGGUAACGGUCACCCAAGGCAAGGAUACGUAGCCACCCGGAGAGGGGGACGGGCCAAACUGGAACUGAGACAGGGCCAAAACUCUUACGGGAGGAGGCAGUGGGGAACCUCCGGCAAUGGCGGAAGGCCUGACGAGGAAAGGCGGCGGGGGUGAUGAGGGUCUUGGGUUCGAAAAAUUGGGUUGUAGGGGAGAAACAAAGGGGGAAGUAACAGUGCACGAAUUGACGGUAACUAAUCAGAAAGCGACGGCUAACUACGUG
rnacentral:rRNA from 1 species